CCCUUAGAUGUUCUGGGCUGCACGCGCGCUACACUGAUGCACUCAACGAGUUUACAACCUUAUCCGGAAGGAUUGGGUAAUCUUUGAACGCCGGUCGUGAUGGGGAUAGAUCCUUGCAAUUUUUGAUCUUCAACGAGGAAUUCCUAGUAAAUGCGAGUCAUCAUCUCGCGUUGAUUACGUCCCUGCCCUUUGUACACACCGCCCGUCGCACCUACCGAUUGAAUGGUCCGGUGAAGCCUCGGGAUUGCGAAUGCUUCGUGCGGACGCGAGAACUUGGCUAAACCUUACCAUUUAGAGGAAGGUGAAGUCGUAACA
rnacentral:rRNA from 1 species